UUUAUUUUCAAACCGGCCAAUUUUAGGCCAAUUCCUACCAUUUCUCUUCUGAUUUUCCUAUCUCCUUCACCUGCAACUUGCUCAACUACCUUCCUCCUUCCCUCUCUACCAAAAAUUAAGGGUUUUUAAGGUCUAUUUCAUGUAGAACUCCAUAGGAGAACCCGGGGGGUUCUCGACGACGAAUUGUCAUUCCAGAGAGUAUCACCAUUCACAUCACCCUUAAUCAACUUCCCUUGGACCCAAGAACAAGAACCAACUGGUGGUUGGGGCAUUGGAACACCAAGGAAGCCGAAUUGAAGAAGGUUUUGUUGGGUGCGAGCCAAUUUGAGGGCCUUCCUGGCUAAAUUGGACUCGGCCACAGGCAGUGAUUGAACGUGAUGCCUUGACUAUCGUGCUAGGGUACAUUAGCACAGACUCUAGGCAUUGAUCGUUCAGGUGACAGGUUUGAGUAGACUCCAAGAAUUUUGUAGGUGGGUUAGCAGUGCAAUUAUCAGAAACUUGGAGCGUUAGGUUACCCUUGUUUCACUUUUGUACUUUAUCUUUUGGGACUUUCUUUUGAGCACCUCAUACUUGUCCUUAGUAAAGCAAAGAUUAUGCUUCUUUUUGGGAUGUACAUAUUUGUAAAUAUUUUGUGGAGAACUUAGCCACCUUCACAUUAUUUUGGAUUAUCAGUUAAAGUAUUUCAUUCUGUAUC